GAAAUGCGAUAAGUAAUGUGAAUUGCAGAAUUCAGUGAAUCAUCGAAUCUUUGAACGCACCUUGCGCCCUUUGGCUAUUCCGAAGGGCAUGCCUGUUUGAGUAUCAUGAACACCUCAACUCACAUGGCUUGCCAUGAUGAGCUUGGACUUUGGAGGUCUUGCUGGCCUGCGGUCGGCUCCUCUCAAAUGGAUCAGCUUGCCAGUGUUUGGUGGCAUCACGGGUGUGAUAACUAUCUACGCCUGUGGUUUUCUACUGGAUAACCUUCAGUGAUGGAGGUUCGCUGGAGCUCAUAAAUGUCUCUCCUCAGUGAAGACGGCUUUUUGAACGUUUGAUCUCAAAUCAGGUAGGACUACCCGCUGAACUUAA
rnacentral:misc_RNA from 1 species